GCCAGUGUGGCACAAUGGUUUGAGUGUUGGACUACAACUCUGAAGACCAGGAUUCGACUCCUCGCUCAGCCA